UCAAAAACCGGUACCCAGUUCGGAUUGUAGGCUGCAACUCGCCUACAUGAAGUCGGAGUUGCUAGUAAUCGCGGAUCAGAAUGCCGCGGUGAAUGCGUUCCCGGGUCUUGUACACACCGCCCGUCACACCAUGGAAGUUGGGGGCGCCCGAAGUUGCCUAAGAAAUAAGGUACCUAAGGCGAAACCAAUGACUGGGGUGAAGUCGUAACAAGGUACC
rnacentral:rRNA from 1 species